rnacentral:rRNA from 1 species
AGGGUUUGAUUCUGGCUCAGGAUGAACGCUGGCGGCGUGCUUAACACAUGCAAGUCGAACGAAACACCUUAUUUGAUUUUCUUCGGAACUGAAGAUUUGGUGAUUGAGUGGCGGACGGGUGAGUAACGCGUGGGUAACCUACCCUGUACAGGGGGAUAACAGUCAGAAAUGACUGCUAAUACCGCAUAAGACCACAGCACCGCAUGGUGCAGGGGUAAAAACUCCGGUGGUACAGGAUGGACCCGCGUCUGAUUAACUGGUUGGUGAGGUAACGGCUCACCAUGGCUUCGACGGGUAGCCGGCCUGAGAGGGCGACCGGCCACAUUGGGACUGAGAUACGGCCCAG